UUAAGCGACUAAGCGUACACGGUGGAUGCCCUGGCAGUCAGAGGCGAUGAAGGACGUGCUAAUCUGCGAAAAGCGUCGGUAAGGUGAUAUGAACCGUUACAGCCGGCGAUGUCCGAAUGGGGAAACCCAGUGCAAUUCGUUGCACUAUCGUUAACUGAAUACAUAGGUUAACGAGGCGAACCGGGGGAACUGAAACAUCUAAGUACCCCGAGGAAAAGAAAUCAACCGAGAUUCCCCCAGUAGCGGCGAGCGAACGGGGAGCAGCCCAGAGUCUGAAUCAGCUUGUGUGUUAGUGGAACGGUCUGGAAAGUCCGACGGUACAGGGUGAUAGUCCCGUACACCAAAAUGCACAGGCUGUGAACUCGAAGAGUAGGGCGGGACACGUGGUAUCCUGUCUGAAUAUGGGGGGACCAUCCUCCAAGGCUAAAUACUCCUGACUGACCGAUAGUGAACCAGUACCGUGAGGGAAAGGCGAAAAGAACCCCGGCGAGGGGAGUGAAAAAGAACCUGAAACCGUGUACGUACAAGCAGUGGGAGCACCUUCGGGUGUGACUGCGUACCUUUUGUAUAAUGGGUCAGCGACUUAUAUUCUGUAGCAAGGUUAACCGUAUAGGGGAGCCGCAGGGAAACCGAGUCUUAACUGGGCGUUAAGUUGCAGGGUAUAGACCCGAAACCCGGUGAUCUAGCCAUGGGCAGGUUGAAGGUUGGGUAACACUAACUGGAGGACCGAACCGACUAAUGUUGAAAAAUUAGCGGAUGACUUGUGGCUGGGGGUGAAAGGCCAAUCAAACCGGGAGAUAGCUGGUUCUCCCCGAAAGCUAUUUAGGUAGCGCCUCGUGAAUUCAUCUUCGGGGGUAGAGCACUGUUUCGGCUAGGGGGUCAUCCCGACUUACCAACCCGAUGCAAACUACGAAUACCGAAGAAUGUUAUCACGGGAGACACACGGCGGGUGCUAACGUCCGUCGUGAAGAGGGAAACAACCCAGACCGCCAGCUAAGGUCCCAAAGUCAUGGUUAAGUGGGAAACGAUGUGGGAAGGCACAGACAGCCAGGAUGUUGGCUUAGAAGCAGCCAUCAUUUAAAGAAAGCGUAAUAGCUCACUGGUCGAGUCGGCCUGCGCGGAAGAUGUAACGGGGCUAAACCAUGCACCGAAGCUGCGGCAGCGACACUAUGUGUUGUUGGGUAGGGGAGCGUUCUGUAAGCCUGCGAAGGUGACCUGUGAGGGUUGCUGGAGGUAUCAGAAGUGCGAAUGCUGACAUAAGUAACGAUAAAGCGGGUGAAAAGCCCGCUCGCCGGAAGACCAAGGGUUCCUGUCCAACGUUAAUCGGGGCAGGGUGAGUCGACCCCUAAGGCGAGGCCGAAAGGCGUAGUCGAUGGGAAACAGGUUAAUAUUCCUGUACUUGGUGUUACUGCGAAGGGGGGACGGAGAAGGCUAUGUUAGCCGGGCGACGGUUGUCCCGGUUUAAGCAUGUAGGCUGGUUAUCCAGGCAAAUCCGGAUAAUCAAGGCUGAGGUGUGAUGACGAGGCACUACGGUGCUGAAGUAACAAAUGCCCUGCUUCCAGGAAAAGCCUCUAAGCAUCAGGUAACAUNAAAUCGUACCCCAAACCGACACAGGUGGUCAGGUAGAGAAUACCAAGGCGCUUGAGAGAACUCGGGUGAAGGAACUAGGCAAAAUGGUGCCGUAACUUCGGGAGAAGGCACGCUGGUGUGUAGGUGAAGUCCCUGCGGAUGGAGCUGAGACCAGUCGAAGAUACCAGCUGGCUGCAACUGUUUAUUAAAAACACAGCACUGUGCAAACACGAAAGUGGACGUAUACGGUGUGACGCCUGCCCGGUGCCGGAAGGUUAAUUGAUGGGGUUAUCCGUAAGGAGAAGCUCUUGAUCGAAGCCCCGGUAAACGGCGGCCGUAACUAUAACGGUCCUAAGGUAGCGAAAUUCCUUGUCGGGUAAGUUCCGACCUGCACGAAUGGCGUAAUGAUGGCCAGGCUGUCUCCACCCGAGACUCAGUGAAAUUGAACUCGCUGUGAAGAUGCAGUGUACCCGCGGCAAGACGGAAAGACCCCGUGAACCUUUACUAUAGCUUGACACUGAACAUUGAGCCUUGAUGUGUAGGAUAGGUGGGAGGCUUUGAAGCGUGGACGCCAGUCUGCGUGGAGCCAACCUUGAAAUACCACCCUUUAAUGUUUGAUGUUCUAACGUUGGCCCCUUACCGGGGUUGCGGACAGUGUCUGGUGGGUAGUUUGACUGGGGCGGUCUCCUCCCAAAGCGUAACGGAGGAGCACGAAGGUUAGCUAAUCCUGGUCGGACAUCAGGAGGUUAGUGCAAUGGCAUAAGCUAGCUUGACUGCGAGCGUGACGGCGCGAGCAGGUGCGAAAGCAGGUCAUAGUGAUCCGGUGGUUCUGAAUGGAAGGGCCAUCGCUCAACGGAUAAAAGGUACUCCGGGGAUAACAGGCUGAUACCGCCCAAGAGUUCAUAUCGACGGCGGUGUUUGGCACCUCGAUGUCGGCUCAUCACAUCCUGGGGCUGAAGUAGGUCCCAAGGGUAUGGCUGUUCGCCAUUUAAAGUGGUACGCGAGCUGGGUUUAGAACGUCGUGAGACAGUUCGGUCCCUAUCUGCCGUGGGCGCUGGAGAAUUGAGGGGGGCUGCUCCUAGUACGAGAGGACCGGAGUGGACGCAUCACUGGUGUUCGGGUUGUCAUGCCAAUGGCACUGCCCGGUAGCUAAAUGCGGAAGAGAUAAGUGCUGAAAGCAUCUAAGCACGAAACUUGCCCCGAGAUGAGUUCUCCCUGAGACUUUAAGUCUCCUGAAGGAACGUUAAAGACGAUGACGUUGAUAGGCCGGGUGUGUAAGCGCAGCGAUGCGUUGAGCUAACCGGUACUAAUGAACCGUGAGGCUUAACCUU
rnacentral:rRNA from 1 species